rnacentral:rRNA from 1 species
CUACGGGUCGCAGCAGUGGGGAAUAUUGGACAAUGGGCGAAAGCCUGAUCCAGCAAUGCCGCGUGAGUGAUGAAGGCCUUAGGGUUGUAAAGCUCUUUUACCCGGGAUGAUAAUGACAGUACCGGGAGAAUAAGCUCCGGCUAACUCCGUGCCAGCAGCCGCGGUAAUACGGAGGGAGCUAGCGUUGUUCGGAAUUACUGGGCGUAAAGCGCACGUAGGCGGCUUUGUAAGUUAGAGGUGAAAGCCUGGAGCUCAACUCCAGAAUUGCCUUUAAGACUGCAUCGCUCGAAUCCAGGAGAGGUCAGUGGAAUUCCGAGUGUAGAGGUGAAAUUCGUAGAUAUUCGGAAGAACGCCAGUGGCGAAGGCGGCUGACUGGACUGGUAUUGACGCUGAGGUGCGAAAGCGUGGGGAGCAAACAGGAUUAGAUACCCCCGUAGUC